AUGCACAUCAGGGUGUUGCUGGGCAGGUUCCACUCAACCAUGAUGGGAGGGCACCAAUGCUGGACCCCAAGAUCUGAGAUCCAUAUGCCUGAGGCCCUUGAAUGUCCAGAAGUGGUGCCUUGCCAUCUGAUCCCGACCUGGAAGGAGCUGGAGGCACACCAGGGUGGUCCAGUGGCUUCAGCUGACAGGUGGACAGCCAGGAUGCUAACAAGCUUCGUUCUUGUUCCUUGGACCAGUCAUCCAGGGCACGUGGACCCUCCCAGUGGCACACUGUGCCAGCCCAAGGGCUACCACAGGCGACUUCAAAAUGAGCAGGUUCCUUGCAGGGAGAUGUGCAGUACAGCGUCACACCACCAGGGGGCGCUGCCCAGCUGGUAUCUUUCUCCUUCAUGCUCUGCCGGGUUUCUCAAGGAGGCUGGGAAGACAGAAUCAGGAGCCCUGGGAUGCAGGUUUGCCCGUAGGCUUCGAUUUAUGGGCUCCUAGCCUUGACCUUGAAGAUCUGCCACCUGGUGGGCUGGGAAUGGCAUUAACAGGAACCCUCCACAACUCCUGGACCCUUUACAGUUUGCUUCCUGUUCCUGUACAUUCCAUCUUAUCCAACUAAGGGGAUAAUGCCCAGAUACUGAACUAAGGCUCAGAGAGGUGAAGAGGCUGCUUGAGGCCACACAGCUGGUAAGUGGCAAAGCAGAGAUCCCUCCUAGGCUUGCGUGAUGCCAACCCCUGGGCCCCAGUGUCUGAGUGGGGGGAGGCAGCACGGUGCUGGGGGGGGGUGGGCAGGAGGGUAUCCCAGGAGACUGGAGCCAGCUCUGAGUCUUGCUCUACCUCCACCCAGCACAGCUGACUAUUCCUAUCCAUUCUCUUCCCCUCUCCCCACGUGGGAUUUCAGCGACCAUCUCCAGUUUGGGGGGAAUUGGUGAGGGGCUCAGGCAGCACCAGUGGAGCCCUCGAUGUUCAGCCAAGAUACAUGCUUUUUCUAGAGCACAGCUUGGCUUCUUAAGGGAUGAUUUUCAGUCCUGCCAGAGACUUCCACACUAGCCAUCCCAACUAGCCAUAGACACCUCAGCCUGCAACUGUAGAGUCUGGGGCCAGAUGCUACAAUGCAAGGAGCCAAGGCAGUGUGCUAACGGGGGAUGCCUAAAGCCACCUCUCACUCUACAUCAUCACUAUGCUCAAUGCCAUACAUGCAGCCUAAUUUAAUCCCUGUGAUGGCCCUGUGAAAAGAUUAUGAUCUCCAUUUACAGGUGAGGACACUGAGGCUCAUAGGGUACCUCUGCAGCUCUGGAGAGCAGUGGGCUGGCUUUCCUCCCAUGCCUGCCACUGAGAUGCACGAGGAGUGGGCAAGCACGGAUCUUAGCCUCUGCUUGAGUUCUGGAGAAUGUAAAGGACAUGAGAGCUGGCUGUCCUUCAGCAAACAUCUCCUGAGACUUACCAGGCUUCCAGGAGCUCACAAACCUAGGGGGGUCCGCCAGGUCCUCAGUGGAGGAUAAACUGCAGCCAGACUUGUGAGUGAGCAUGUGCAGAGGCCAGCAAGAGUGACAGGGGGCUCUGGUGGUCAGUUGGCCAGGGUUUACAGGAGGAGGGGAGACUGGAGCCAGUCAUCAAAGGGUGAGGGCGAGCACGCUCUGCAGAGGGGAGGUGUGGGAGACUUGUGAGCAAAAGCCAGGUUUCCAGGGUCCUGCGGCUGAGUGGGGAGACACAGGUGAAUGAGGUCUCCUCUCUGGGGCACACCUUUGGUCUUAGGAGAUAAGAUGCAGGAAGAUGCUGGGUGUCCAUGGAGGGGGGUGCCUCAGGGAGCACAUGCAUUAUGAUGAUCCAUCUCAGUGAAAAAGAUGAGGUUUUGGAUUGACUAUAGGCAGAAAACUGGAUGCCUCCAUGAGUGUGAAUGUGUACACACGAGCGUAUCUUUGAAGCCCAACGUCAAAGUCGUUGACCUACCACCCUGAGAAAUUGACUGGACAGAAAUACCAUCCUCAAUGACAGAGGAGAAAACAGAACCCCCGGGGGCCUGGGGCUCAAUAGUGGAAAAGCCAAGGUCUAUCAUGGACUCCUGGUCCCAGCUCUAUGCCCCUGUCUCAACCUUCUGCCUAGACUGCCAUCCUAUCUCUCAGGGCCCUGCAUGUCACAGGCCACCAUGUCACCUGCCUCCCCCUGCAUUUUCACAGGAAAAGCCCCAUGGUGGGUCUGGCAGCAGAAGUGAAGGGCUGAAACCAGAAAGAGGAGGAUCCCAGUAGCUGCAGAAGUCAGAGCCCAAGACCAGGGUGGAGUCGCCAUCCUCUUCUCCCAAGCUGCUGAAAGUGCCGGCCACUGCCGUUAGGAGGAAGUGCCUCAGAGAAAGGACCCGGGAGAGACAAAGCCCUGGGCUGGUUCUCCAGGGAAGGCUUGGGUAAGGGCUCCCUAGUUUGACCUCUUCCUUCCAGAGUCUUCAGUGGGAUGGCACUGGGAACAGAAAGUCUGGGGAGUCCACCUCUGCCCCCUGCCUGUACCACUGGGCACUUGCAAAGCUCUCCCUUAGGGCCAGGCACUGCUCUGGGCGCCUGCACACAUAUUCUCAAUUUCCACAACCACUUCAGGGGGAAGGUAUAAUUAUUACCUCGGUUUUAUGCGUAAGAAGAGGGAAGCACAGAGAGGUUCCGUGACUCAUCCAAGAUCACUCCAUUUGUAGAGGGUAGAGCUGGGGUUGAACACAAGGAAUCUGCCUCAAGGAGAGGCAGAUCUGGUCAUUAAUAACAAUAACAAGCAAAGCCAUUUGACCAGUACCUCCUGUGUGCCUGGGGCUUCAGUCCUCACAGCAAGGCUGGGACGGGGGCACUCCUCAUUUCAUAGAUGAGUAAAUCCGAGCUUAGCAGGCGGCCAGGGGUGAGGCGCCUGCAGAAUCUCACAGAUGCUAGGUCUCCCUAAAACGGAAGGGUCCACUCUCAGCCUCUUUGCAGGCCUCUUUGACUCGCUGUGUGACAGUGGGAAAGCACAUUCCUCUACAGAGCCUCAGUUUCCCUAUGGCCUAGGCCUUCUAUUCCUGGCCUCCCUGCUCCAGCAAGUGACGGAGUGGCUGGGAUUGCGACGUUGUGGGAAUGUGCGUCUCCUCCGUGAAGAGCCUUUGCCUCCCCC
rnacentral:lncRNA from 1 species